CUGUCCCAUGUCGGCUCACCCGGGGCAUGUGCGAAAGCUAGGUGUCACGGGCUAUAAUAUGGCAGGCAUUGCGUGACGCUGGUUUCAGAGAACAGCGAAUACUGCACGCCACCAACGGUGGAAGGAUAACGG
rnacentral:SRP_RNA from 16 species